rnacentral:rRNA from 1 species
AUUGAACGCUGGCGGCAUGCCUUACACAUGCAAGUCGAACGGCAGCACGGGUGCUUGCACCUGGUGGCGAGUGGCGAACGGGUGAGUAAUACAUCGGAACGUACCUUAUCGUGGGGGAUAACGCAGCGAAAGCUGUGCUAAUACCGCAUACGCCCUGAAGGGGAGAGCGGGGGAUCGCAAGACUCCGCGGGAAUAGAGCGGCCGAUGCCUGAUUAGCUUGUUGGUGGGGUAAAAGCCCACCAAGGCGACGAUCAGUAGCUGGUCUGAGAGGACGAUCAGCCACACUGGGACUGAGACACGGCCCAGACUCCUACGGGAGGCAGCAGUGGGGAAUUUUGGACAAUGGGGGCAACCCUGAUCCAGCAAUGCCGCGUGAGUGAAGAAGGCCUUCGGGUUGUAAAGCUCUUUUGUCAGGGAAGAAACACCGGCUCUAACACAGUCCGGGAAUGACGGUACCUGAAGAAUAAGCACCGGCUAACUACGUGCCAGCCGCCGCCGUAA